rnacentral:rRNA from 1 species
AUUGAACGCUGGCGGCAUGCCUUACACAUGCAAGUCGAACGGUAACAGGUUAAGCUGACGAGUGGCGAACGGGUGAGUAAUGUAUCGGAACGUGCCCAGUCGUGGGGGAUAACUGCUCGAAAGAGCAGCUAAUACCGCAUACGACCUGAGGGUGAAAGCGGGGGAUCGCAAGACCUCGCGCGAUUGGAGCGGCCGAUAUCAGAUUAGGUAGUUGGUGAGGUAAAGGCUCACCAAGCCGACGAUCUGUAGCUGGUCUGAGAGGACGACCAGCCACACUGGGACUGAGACACGGCCCAGACUCCUACGGGAGGCAGCAGUGGGGAAUUUUGGACAAUGGGCGCAAGCCUGAUCCAGCCAUGCCGCGUGCGGGAGGAAGGCCUUCGGGUUGUAAAGCACUUUCAGCGAGGAGGAAGGGGUUGUAGUUAAUAGCUGCAACCUUUGACGUUACUCGCAGAAGAAGCACCGGCUAACUCUGUGCCAGCCGCCGCAGUAAAAC